rnacentral:rRNA from 1 species
UAAGUUUAGAAAUUUAACUUUUAAUUGAUUUUAGGUUAAUGUGCCUUUUGCAUCAUGCUUAACGGAGUAUAAUAAAUAAAUUUAAUUAUCGAAAAGUUUAGAUCUUAAAUAUAAUUGUUCAGCACUUAAGUCGAGUAGACGUAAUAAAAUUAUAUUUAUGAUGUGAUAAAUUAGACGGUAAACUUUAUAACUAUUUUAUAGCUUAAAAUUUAAAAUUACACACUUAGCAAUGAGGUUAAGUGUGCUAUUAUACUAUUAUUAAUGUGUUAAGUUAAGAAAGGGUUAAAAGUACCUAAUCUUUAUAAAAUUGUUAAAAAUUUUUUUAGCUUGAUAGAUAGUUAAAAUUAGUGGCUGUAUAAAUAUAAUUGUUGGUUUAUAAAAAAUCGUUAAAUAAGUAAUAUAAAUAUGUUAAGUUAUUUCUCAAGCAUCGCCCGUCUGUUUAUUAAAAACAUUGUUAUAUAAAAUAAUAUAUAAUAGUACCUGCCCAGUGUCUGUUGAUAAAUGGCCGCAGUAUAUUGACUGUGCAAAGGUAGCAUAAUUAAUUGCCUCAUAAUUGGGGGCUUGUCUGAAUGGUUUGACGUGGUGAUAGUUAAUAUCUUACAUUUUAAUGAAAUUAAUAUUGAGGGCACAGAAUCCUCAAAGGUUAAUUAGACGGAAAGACCCCAGGAUCUUUAAUUUUUGCUUGGGGCAAGCAUUAUUUUUUUAAUAUUAUUAUGACCCUUUACAGGAUAGUGAGUUAAGUUACCCUGGGGAUAACAGUGUAAUGAUUAAUUAGAGAUCUUAUCGAAUUAAUCGUUUGCUACCUCGAUGUUGACUUAGGUAUAUAAGCUAGGCGCAGUAGUUUAGCUUUUAGGUCUGUUCGACCUUAAUUACCUCCAUGAGUUGAGUUAAGACCGGUGUAAGCCAGGUCGGUUCUUAUCUAUUAUUCAAAUUUACUAGUACGAAAGGAUCGUAAAUUUUUUUAGU